rnacentral:rRNA from 1 species
GAAGAACUGUAAUGUCAUUAAUUCGGUGUUGCAGGGAAACAGGACUGUUACUUUGAAAAAAUUAGAGUGUUUAAAGCAGGCUAACGCUUGAAUACAUUAGCAUGGAAUAAUGAAAUAGGACGUUCAAACCUAUUUUGUUGGUUUCUAGGAUUGACAUAAUGAUUAAUAGGGAUAGUUGGGGGCAUUAGUAUUCAAUUGUCAGAGGUGAAAUUCUUGGAUUUAUUGAAGACUAACUACUGCGAAAGCAUUUGCCAAGGAUGUUUUCAUUAAUCAAGAACGAAAGUUAGGGGAUCGAACACGAUCAGAUACCGUCGUAGUCUUAACCAUAAACUAUGCCGACUAGGGAUCGGAUGAUGUUAAUUUUUUAAUGACUCAUUCGGCGCCUUACG